CAAUCAGGAGAGGGUUUGUUGAAAGGCCACACCCCUUCCACUUACAGGAAGCCGACUCUGACUGACAGCCCGUGUGAUCUCUCUAAAGGACUGGCAGGAAGGCUACAAAGGGCCCGGCCGCAGUAAUUGGCAAGACAAAGGCUUCCCGCCCAAGCAGCACUGUCACUCAUGUGGUUCCAGAGCGAUGAAUCAACGUGGAACACGCCACACCAGUUAACCAAAGGGAAAGCAUGCUUGUCGGCUAACAGGACCUCCGCUGGGUGUCUUUGCAGCAGGCCCCAGUGGGUGAUUGACAGCCACAGAGGAAUUAUUGAGCGGCGAGAGGAGGAAGAGGGAGGCGAGGCUCUUGGGUCAAGCACCAGCAAGGGGAGGCGAGAGUUCAGCAUCUGAGAAGUUAUACAAGCUGACGCGACCCCCUGUACAAACUGUGAAGGCCUCUCCCAGGCCAGCCUUUCAGAGACUCGCAGUCUGUUUCCGUGUUUGAAGAAACUCUCCGCAGAUGCCUCACAAAUAAAUAGUUCUGGUUUUGGCUGGUAUGCUCUGAAAUGUGCAGUGCGGUGGGAUUCUUUUUAAGCUGUCUGCCGGAGGGACAUGCAAAUGUGUGUGCCUGUGGAGUAGUGGUGUAGAGUGAUUAAGCAUGUCGCCUCUGGCCUGUGGGAUUGACACUAACGCUGGCUGACUCGGGCACACAUGGGGGAGAAAGACUAGGGGCACUUGUGUAACAGAGACACAGAGGCAGGUACUGUUCUCCCGCUGAGCUCGAAACAAACCGCUGUUGACAUCCCUGUCACCAACACUCAUUUCCAGCGCUCAACAAGAUUAGACUCAACUGGCGGCGGUAGAGACAGAGGCAUCAAAUUAAGCAAAAGCGGCUGACAGCUAGCAUGUUCAAUGCGCUGGCUUUCUGCAGGCUGUUUUCUUCCGCUUUGCCUCGCAUGAAAUGCUAUCUUUCAGCUCGCAU